rnacentral:rRNA from 1 species
AGCCUGAACGCUGGCGGCGUGGCUAAGACAUGCAAGUCGUACGGGUGUAGCAAUACACCAGUGGCGAACGGGUGAGUAAUGUAUCGCUAACGUGCCCCUAUGUCUGGGAUAGCCAUCCGAAAGGAUGGGUAAUACCGGAUGAGACCACAAUCCCGCAUGGGAUGGUGCUCAAAGGAGUAAUCCGCAAAGGGAGCGGGCGAUAUCGUAUCAGCUAGUUGGUGAGGUAACGGCUCACCAAGGCGACGACGCGUAGCCGGGCUGAGAGGUCGGCCGGCCACAUUGGGACUGAGACACUGCCCAGACUCCUACGGGGGGCUGCAGUAACGAAUCUUCCGCAAUGCACGAAGUGUGACGGAGCGACGCCGCGUGGAGGACGAAGUUCUCGGAAUGUAACUCCUGUCAGGGGCAACCAAGUUCUGAGGUGCCCCAGAGGAAGGCACGGCUAACUCUGCGCCAGCAGCCGCGU